CAUCGGCUUGCGGGUCGAUGUGAGCCAACGGUGAGAUACCACUCUUUGCGAGCUAGGGUUCUAACGGCCACCCGUCAUCCGGGGGCCGGACAGUACCUGGUGGGCAGUUUGACUGGGGCGGUCGCCUCCUAAAAGGUAACGGAGGCGCGCAAAGGUUUGCUCAGGCUGGUUGGAAAUCAGCCGACGAGUGUAAAAGCAGAAGCAAGCUUGACUGUGAGACCAACAAGUCGAACAGGGAGGAAACUCGGCUUUAGUGAUCCGACGGUUCUGAGUGGAAGGGCCGUCGCUCAACGGAUAAAAGUUACUCUAGGGAUAACAGG
rnacentral:rRNA from 1 species